GUUUCAAGCAGUUACCCCAGUGAGCCCAGCUGGUGGUGCUGCCAUGCUGCCAUGGAGCCCAGAGACAGAUCAGCAUGGGAGCCGAAGCCUGACAGUUCUGCACUGUUCAAGGAGUAAUCUGACAAAGACAGAACAUCAAGGGAGUGCUGAUGCCAGAGUAGACCAGAGUCUGAUGAGGCAAGCUGGGCGUGUUGAUGGAGACCCCCGGGGUGCUCAGAGGCUGGUUAGACUGACUGCUGCUGCUGCUCAGCCUCUGACUGCUCUGUAGAACAAGAAGAAUCAGGGUUAUUCACUCGCAGUAAACUCACCUGGCAUUCAGUGCAUUCUCUUUGUGCAAAGCUUAGUUUUUUUCCCUGGACUGUUGGCAUAAACACUUACAGCUCUGGUAAAUAGGCUACUGUUUUUACUUCUUCAUUCUGUUGCUACUGUUUUUAUUUCCUGACCUUGUUUUAACGAUUAGGCCGAGUACUCCAACCCAAAACUAUCCUCAUAUAUAUGUACUGUAUAAUGACAAUAAACUCUUCUAUUUCUCAUUCUUA